rnacentral:rRNA from 1 species
ACUCCUGCGGGAGGCAGCAGUGGGGAAUUUUGGACAAUGGGCGAAAGCCUGAUCCAGCAAUGCCGCGUGAGUGAAGAAGGCCUUCGGGUUGUAAAGCUCUUUUGUCAGGGAAGAAACGGUGAGAGCUAAUAUCUCUUGCUAAUGACGGUACCUGAAGAAUAAGCACCGGCUAACUACGUGCCAGCAGCCGCGGUAAUACGUAGGGUGCAAGCGUUAAUCGGAAUUACUGGGCGUAAAGCGUGCGCAGGCGGUUUUGUAAGUCUGAUGUGAAAUCCCCGGGCUCAACCUGGGAAUUGCAUUGGAGACUGCAAGGCUAGAAUCUGGCAGAGGGGGGUAGAAUUCCACGUGUAGCAGUGAAAUGCGUAGAUAUGUGGAGGAACACCGAUGGCGAGGGCAGCCCCCUGGGUCAAGAUUGACGCUCAUGCACGAAAGCGUGGGGAGCAAACAGGAUUAGAAACCCCUGUAGUCCCAUGAU